AGAGUUUGAUCAUGGCUCAGAACGAACGCUGGCGGCAGGCUUAACACAUGCAAGUCGAACGCAUCCUUCGGGGUGAGUGGCAGACGGGUGAGUAACGCGUGGGAACGUGCCCUUCAGUUCGGAAUAACCCAGGGAAACUUGGGCUAAUACCGGAUACGUGCGAGAGCAGAAAGAUUUAUCGCUGAAGGAUCGGCCCGCGUCUGAUUAGCUAGUUGGUAGGGUAAUGGCCUACCAAGGCGACGAUCAGUAGCUGGUCUGAGAGGAUGAUCAGCCACAUUGGGACUGAGACACGGCCCAAACUCCUACGGGAGGCAGCAGUGGGGAAUAUUGGACAAUGGGCGCAAGCCUGAUCCAGCCAUGCCGCGUGAGUGAUGAAGGCCUUAGGGUUGUAAAGCUCUUUCGUCCGGGACGAUAAUGACGGUACCGGAAGAAGAAGCCCCGGCUAACUUCGUGCCAGCAGCCGCGGCAAUACGAAGGGGGCUAGCGUUGUUCGGAAUCACUGGGCGUAAAGGGCGCGUAGGCGGCUUGAUAAGUCGGGGGUGAAAGCCUGUGGCUCAACCACAGAAUUGCCUUCGAUACUGUCUGGCUUGAGACCGGAAGAGGUAAGUGGAACUGCGAGUGUAGAGGUGAAAUUCGUAGAUAUUCGCAAGAACACCAGUGGCGAAGGCGGCUUACUGGUCCGGUUCUGACGCUGAGCGCGAAAGCGUGGGGAGCAAACAGGAUUAGAUACCCUAGUAGUCC
rnacentral:rRNA from 1 species